GAUGAACGCUGGCGGCGUGCCUAAUACAUGCAAGUCGAGCGAACAGACGAGGAGCUUGCUCCUCUGACGUUAGCGGCGGACGGGUGAGUAACACGUGGAUAACCUACCUAUAAGACUGGGAUAACUUCGGGAAACCGGAGCUAAUACCGGAUAACAUGUUGAACCGCAUGGUUCAACAGUGAAAGACGGUCUUGCUGUCACUUAUAGAUGGAUCCGCGCCGCAUUAGCUAGUUGGUAAGGUAACGGCUUACCAAGGCAACGAUGCGUAGCCGACCUGAGAGGGUGAUCGGCCACACUGGAACUGAGACACGGUCCAGACUCCUACGGGAGGCAGCAGUAGGGAAUCUUCCGCAAUGGGCGAAAGCCUGACGGAGCAACGCCGCGUGAGUGAAGAAGGUCUUCGGAUCGUAAAACUCUGUUAUUAGGGAAGAACAAAUGUGUAAGUAACUAUGCACGUCUUGACGGUACUAAUCAGAAAGCCACGGCUAACUACGUG
rnacentral:rRNA from 1 species